rnacentral:rRNA from 1 species
AUUGAACGCUGGCGGCUUGCCUAACACAUGCAAGUCGAACGAGUGGCGGACGGGUGCGUAAUGUCUGGGAAACUGCCUGAUGGAGGGGGAUAACUACUGGAAACGGUAGCUAAUACCGCAUACCAUCAGAUUUGCCCAGAUGGGAUUAGCUUGUUGGUGGGGUAACGGCUCACCAAGGCGACGAUCCCUAGCUGGUCUGAGAGGAUGACCAGCCACACUGGAACUGAGAAACGGUCCAGACUCAUACGGGAGGCAGCAGUGGGGAAUAGUGAACAAUGGGCGAAAGCCUGAUGCAGCAAAGCCGCGUGUAUGAAGAAGGCCUUCGGGUUGUAAAGUACGUUCAGCGGGGAGGCGUUACCCGCAGAAGAAGCACCGGCUAACUCCGUGCCAGCAGCCGCGGUAAUUC